rnacentral:lncRNA from 1 species
CUUGAAAAGAUCAUCAAGAGUGACAAUGGGAGGUUCUUGCUCCUCAGAGACUAGAGGAGGAGGGGGAGGAAGAGGAAGACGUUCUACGACAGGAGGUGGUUUGGCCAGAGGUGGUGGUGGUGGAAGAGCGGUUGGAGGUGGCCGCGAAAGAGUCUGAGCUUGUGGCUGAUGCUGAUGCUGAGGCUGAGGAGGAGGAGGUAGAGGAGCUUCCAGUUUUGCUUUUACUUCUUCUGGUCUGACAAAUUCAGCUAUCAGAUGGCGGCCUCCAUUAGGUGGCCAUU